AUACGAAAGGUGCAAGCGUUGUUCGGAUUUACUGGGCGUAAAGAGAGUGUAGGUGGUUUAUUAAGUCGGAUGUGAAAUCCCGGGGCUCAACCUCGGAACUGCAUUCGAUACUGAUAGGCUAGAGUUUGGGAGGGGUAAGCGGAAUUCCGUGUGUAGCAGUGAAAUGCGUAGAUAUACGGAGGAACACCUGAGGCGAAGGCGGCUUACUGGACCAAUACUGACACUGAGACUCGAAAGCGUGGGUAGCAAACAGGAUUAGAUACCCCAGUAGUCC
rnacentral:rRNA from 1 species